UGUGACAUACCACUUGUUGCCUCGGCGGAUCAGCCCGCUCCCGGUAAAACGGGACGGCCCGCCAGAGGACCCCUAAACUCUGUUUCUAUAUGUAACUUCUGAGUAAAACCAUAAAUAAAUCAAAACUUUCAACAACGGAUCUCUUGGUUCUGGCAUCGAUGAAGAACGCAGCAAAAUGCGAUAAGUAAUGUGAAUUGCAGAAUUCAGUGAAUCAUCGAAUCUUUGAACGCACAUUGCGCCCGCCAGUAUUCUGGCGGGCAUGCCUGUUCGAGCGUCAUUUCAACCCUCAAGCACAGCUUGGUGUUGGGACUCGCGUUAAUUCGCGUUCCUCAAAUUGAUUGGCGGUCACGUCGAGCUUCCAUAGCGUAGUAGUAAAACCCUCGUUACUGGUAAUCGUCGCGGCCACGCCGUUAAACCCCAACUUCUGAAUGUUGACCUCGGAUCAGGUAGGAAUACCCGCUGAACUUAAGCAUAUCAAUAAGCGGAGG
rnacentral:rRNA from 1 species